CACCUGUUUAUCAAAAACAUUGUAUUAAGUUUUAUUUAAUAUAGGAUCUGCUCAAUGAAAUAUUUAAAUAGCUGCAGUAUUUUGACUGUGCAAAGGUAGCAUAAUAAUUAGUCUUUUAAUUGAGGACUUGUAUGAAAGAUUUGAUGAAAAAUAAACUUUAUUAUUUAUAUAAUUAAAAUUUUAUUUUUAAGUAAAAAAGCUUAAAUUAAUUAAAGGGACGAUAAGACCCUAUAAAACUUUAUAUAUAUAAAGUUUUAAUUUUUUUUUGGUUAAAUAAAUAUUUAAAUAUUUAUAUAUAUUUUAUUGGGGUGAUAAAAAAAAAUAAUUAACUUUUUUUAAAUUUUAACAUUAUUGAAUGGAAAUUUGAAUUAAAAUUUUUAAUUAAAAGAAAAAGUUACUUUAGGGAUAACAGCGUAAUUAAUUUUUUAAGUUCAAAUUUGAAAAUUAGUUUGCGACCUCGAUGUUGAAUUAAGAAUAAUUUUAGGUGCAAAAUUUUAAAUAUUAGGUCUGUUCGACCUUUAAAUUCU
rnacentral:rRNA from 1 species